GCAACUACCCACAUUCUCCGGAUGUGACUCGCCAGUUUCCUGAGGGUGACUAGAGCAGGCGUGUCGGCAGCGACCACUGCACACCGUCUGGAAUGCGUCCAGAGGUGAUGAGGCGAUACGUGUGGGUGGUGUAGCAGAAGAGUACCGGACGCUGUAGCUCCAAGGAACGUGCAGUGCUUGGGAGAAGCCAUGCAGAUAACGCAAGCUCUACAAGGCCGGAAACUGAGUGAUUUGGCCGACAUGGUCGUGGCCGACCCAACGGUCCAUCAAAUCCAUCCGGUCGCAGGGAAGCCCACACGUUCACGUAAAAAGCUUACAACGCUCGCCAGAACUGUAUAACAAG